CGAGCAUAUGCCUGCCGCCUGGCCACGGUCAGGCGUAAACACGACGGCGCGCAAGGGCUCGCAGUUCUCUGUCGAGCGCCCGUGCUGCGGCGACGCAUGCUUCCCGGUUCGGCUCAUGCCCGCCGCUGGGAGCCCACUGUCACUCCGCCGUAGACGCGCCGCCAUGGCGCGACCAAAAUGCGCUCCUAGGCGCAGCAGCGCAUCCAGGCCGCCCGAGCAGCCCGCGAAGAGCACUGAA
rnacentral:misc_RNA from 1 species